rnacentral:rRNA from 1 species
UACAGAGGUCUCAAGCGUUGUUCGGAAUCACUGGGCUUAAAGGGCGCGUAGGCGGGCCUCCCAGUCCGGGGUGAAAGCUUUCGGCUUAACCGGAAAAGUGCCUUGGAUACUGGAGGUCUUGAGGGAGGUAGGGGCAGCCGGAACUUCCGGUGGAGCGGUGAAAUGCGUUGAUAUCGGAAGGAACGCCGGUGGCGAAAGCGGGCUGCUGGAUCUCUACUGACGCUGAGGCGCGAAAGCCAGGGGAGCGAACGGG